rnacentral:rRNA from 1 species
CCAAUGAAGUUUUAAUGGCCGCGGUAUAUUAACUGUGCAAAGGUAGCAUAAUCAUUAGUUUUUUAAUUGAAAGCUGGAAUGAAGGGUUUAAUGAAAAAAGUUCUGUUUCUAUUCAAAUUUAUUAGAAUUUUAUUUUUAAGUAAAAAAGCUUAAAUAAUUAUUGAAGACGAGAAGACCCUAUAGAGUUUAAUAUUUUUAAAAAUUACUGUAUUUGGUAAAUUUUAAUUUAAUUUUUAAGAGUAUUUUAUUGGGGUGAUUAAAAAAUUAAAAUAACUUUUUUUUUAAUGAACAUUAAUGUGUGAGUAAAUGAUCCUUUUUUUAGAUUAAAAGAAAAAAUUACCUUAGGGAUAACAGCGUGAUUUUUUUU